GGAGAGGUGCUUGGAGCGGCCGAACAGGCAUGUCUGGAAAGCAUGUAUCGGUUAACCCCGAUCGUGGGUUCGAAUCCCACCCUCUCCGCCA
rnacentral:tRNA from 1 species